rnacentral:rRNA from 1 species
UUCAGCGGGGGAUAACAGUCCGAAAGGAUUGCUAAUACCGCAUACGUCGGCGAGGUCUUUGGACUUUGUCGGGAAAGGUGGCCUCUCCAUGGAAGCUACCACUGAAGGAGCAGCCCGCGGCCCAUCAGCUAGUUGGUGAGGUAAUGGCUCACCAAGGCUUAGACGGGUAGCUGGUCUGAGAGGAUGAUCAGCCACACUGGAACUGAGACACGGUCCAG